CGCGAAGAACCUUACCAAGGCUUAAAUGUAGAUUGACAGGUUUGGAAACAGACUUUUCUUCGGACAAUUUACAAGGUGCUGCAUGGUUGUCGUCAGCUCGUGCCGUGAGGUGUCAGGUUAAGUCCUAUAACGAGCGCAACCCUUGCCAUUAGUUGCUACGAAAGGGCACUCUAAUGAGACUGCCGGUGACAAACCGGAGGAAGGUGGGGAUGACGUCAGGUCAUCAUGGCCCUUAUGGGUAGGGCUACACACGUCAUACAAUGGUCGGUACAGAGGGCUGCCAACCCGCGAGGGGGAGCUAAUCUCAGAAAACCGGUCGUAGACCGGAUCGCAGUCUGCAACUCGACUGCGUGAAGUCGGAAUCGCUAGUAAUCGCGGAUCAGCUUGCCGCGGUGAAUACGUUCCCGGGCCUUGUACACACCG
rnacentral:rRNA from 1 species